rnacentral:misc_RNA from 1 species
UUUCCGUAGGUGAACCCGCGGAAGGAUCAUUAUUGUAUAACCGAGGUGCUAGGCCUGUCGGUGACCAGAUAGGUCCUGCACGCCCGAGUGCCCUCACACACAUCCAUCUCACCCCUAUGUGCACCACCGCGUGGGUCCCCCCUUCGCUUGUGCGGAGGGGGGCUUACGUUUUCACACAAACUUUGUAUGCAGUGUAGAAUGUAUUUUUUGUUUUUGCGAUCACGCAAUCAAUACAACUUUCAACAACGGAUCUCUUGGCUCUC